AUUUUAUUUCAACGGCAUUCUGAAACAAUUGUGAAAAAAAGGUAAGAUUCUGCGACAAUAAGAAACAAAAUUCUUGAAUUUAAUCUUAUUUCAACGUUCUCGAAACAAUUGUGAAAAAAAGAUGAACUUGAUAUUCUUCAACUUAAUUCCUCGAGAGUUUGAAAAGAUAAAUGGACGAGUUGUGUAUGCUCUCUCUAGCGCGUAUAAUCAACGACGCUUCGUGAAGAAAUCGUACUUCAAUGGCGUUUCAAUGGAAUGUAUUUCGCGCGUAACAAUUGUGAAAAAAAAAAAGAAACUCGAAAGAAUAAAUGAACGAGUUGUGUAUACUUCUUCUAACUUGUGUACAAUCGACGAGGAUUCGCGAAGAAAUUUUAUUUGACGGGCGAGAAAUUCCAUUUUUCGCCGUGUCGUUUAUUAUAACGCGUGUAAACUUUCACGGUAUCCGGUUAUAAACCGUAACUCGCUCAUCCAGAGAUCAGGAGCUCUUCUUUCCCUCCUAAUUGAAAGUUACACCCGAGUCUAGAUACAUUUUCCAGCGGACAAGAUAAUCGCGUCGCAUCCGACACAUUCGUAUUCCUCUCCCUUCGAUUCUACAUCUCGUUACAAUGUUCCCGAUAACGCAUCUGGGGGAAUCUUAAUUACAGGCUCGUUAGUGCGCGUGCGCUGCGCGGCUGUUGCCUUCGUUGAAAUACACGCGAUCCCGGCCGCUCGAUUAAACUCGUUAGUUUCGCGAAAAUUUCCUCGCGAGCGACAACAGCUCGUUCGUUAGACCAGCGUUUCUCAAUCUGUCCGGGUUCAAUUGAAUUUAUAACUAAACGGAGGACGAACAGUGGAUUACGGUAUAGAUAGAGCAAUGAAUUUUCUACUGGUGCUCCCUCUUCCCCGCUGCGAGUGCGCUCGAAUACGCGGUUCUGGUUUUGCUAUUCGAGAUGGUCCGCUAUCUUUUCCCAACAUUUCUCGGAAAAGUAUCUCGCAAGGAAUGAAUGAAAAAUUUCCAAAUAAAUAAUAGAUUAAUUAGAAUAUUGUUAUAUAUAUAGAUAAAGAAAUGAUUUUCUAUUCUUCUAUGCUGUGACGCCUUAAGUUUUAUCAUUGCCAAUAUUUUUCAGGAAAAUUCGCAGGUAAACAAUGGAUUAACAGUAGACAUAUAUAGAAAAAUUCGCAAAUAAAUAAUAAAUUAAUUAAAAUAUUGUUAUAUAUACAGAUAAAGAAAUAAUUUUCUAUCCUUCUAUGCUGUGACGCCUUAAGUUUCAUCAUUGCCAAUAUUUUUCAGAAAAAUUCACAGAUAAACAGUGGAUUAAGAGACAUUAUUAUAUAUUGUUAUAUAAAGACAUGAAUUUUCUACCCUUCUAUGCUGUGAUGCGUUAAGUUUUAUCAUUGCCAAUAUUUUUUCAGAAAAAUUCACAGAUAAACAAUGGAUUAACAGUAGAUAUAUAUAGAAAAAUUCGCAAAUAAAUAACAGAUUAAUUAGAAUAUUGUUACAUAUACAGAUAAAGAAAUUAAUUUUCUAC